GAUGAACGCUGGCGGCGUGCCUAACACAUGCAAGUCGAACGGACAGACGAUGAGAUUGUGCCCUUGACGUUAGCGGCGGACGGGUGAGUAACACGUGGAUAACCUACUUAUUUUUCUGGGAUAACAACGGAAAACAGGUUCCAAUACUGCAUAAUAUAUUGAACCGCAUGGAUCAAUAGUGAAUGACGGCUUUGCUGUCACAAAUAGACGGUUCCGCGCCGGAUUAGCUAGUUGGUAAGGUAACGGCUUACCAAGGCAACGAUGCGUAGCCGAUCUGAGAGGGUGAUCGGCCACACUGGAACUGAGACACGGUCCAGACUCCUACGGGAGGCAGCAGUAGGGAAUCUUCCGCAAUGGGCGAAAGCCUGACGGAGCAACGCCGCGUGAGUGAUGAAGGUCUUCGGAUCGUAAAGCUCUGUUAUUAGGGAAGAACAGAUGUGUAAGUAACUAUGCACGUCUUGACGGUACCUAAUCAGAAAGCCACGGCUAACUACGUG
rnacentral:rRNA from 1 species